UACGUAGGGGGCAAGCGUUGUCCGGAUUUAUUGGGCGUAAAGAGCGUGUAGGCGGUUUGGUAGGUCCGCUGUGAAAACUCGAGGCUCAACCUCGAGACGCCGGUGGAAACCAUCAGACUAGAGUCCGGAAGAGGAGACUGGAAUUUACGGUGUAGCAGUGAAAUGCGUAGAGAUCGUAAGGAAGACCAGUGGCGAAGGCGGGUCUCUGGACAGUUCCUGACGCUGAGGCACGAAGGCCAGGGGAGCAAACGGG
rnacentral:rRNA from 1 species